rnacentral:ncRNA from 1 species
GAGCGAUGCUAGGGGUGCUGCGCGGGAUUUCAAGCUCGCAAAGCUGAGAUCAUACCCUCAAGACCGGUCCGCGGUAAUGCGCGCGACGGGAAGCAUCCUGCUGUGCCG